rnacentral:rRNA from 1 species
ACGGCCCUACGGGUUGUAAACUGCUUUUAUACGGGAAUGAACCUACUUACGUGUAAGUAGCUGAAUGUACUGUAAGAAUAAGGAUCGGCUAACUCCGUGC